GACUCUCUGACGGCCGAGCCUCCACCCAAUACCCCUUCAAGAGACCAACAAGAAGGGGCGGCCGGAGACGACACAGGAAACGUAAGGACAAGGAAUCAAAAACAGGGCAAGCUGCAAUUUCCGAAGGCUCAAAGGAAAAAGAACUGAGUCCUUCUAACACUGUGAUAUUGAAGAUAGGGAAGAUCCGAUGGACUGUGAAGAAACACACCACCCGCUCUGUGCCCAUUUUUGUAUUUUUUAAUACUAGCUUAUAAGGGGUGAGGAUGCCUUCUUUACCGAGCCAAGUGAGGCAUUCCCAUCUUGAAGUCAUGGUCAAGUAUUCCGGGUCAAAUGCUCCCUCAAACUGUAAUAAGGGUGGUCUGGUUUCCUUUAUAGAGUAUCAAAUCAUCUGUGGCUUUAACUCCACUACUCUCCUAGAAAUUAUAUAGACAAAUAGUAUUAGAAAAAGAUAUUAAAGAAAAAUAGUAUAGUGUGACCAGAGCCUGAAAUCUAAAACAAACUAGUACAUGUGUAUAUCAACUACAGUAAAUAAGAAAUGUGUAUAUAGGUAGCCCAAUUGGUUACAUAUAGAUGUGAUAUGGUGUAAUGGGGUGUAUAAAUCAUUUGUAUAUGUAAAUAAUAAAGUGUAUAAAGCAAUGUGUACAUAAGUAAUGAGACACGUAAGGCGAUAAUAAAUCUAUCUAUAGGUAAUGCUAUAGAUAUGUAAUUGAUGGUGAGAAAUAUAAAUAUAAAUCCAUAUAAAUUCAUGGAACUAAUAAUAUGCAUAUUCCUCUUGCCUUCAUAUCUGUACACAUAGGAAAUGGUUAUAUGUCAUAAUGUAUGAGUAUGUUAACAACCCAUGUGCCCAGUGCCCCCACUCUCAUGCUGUGAAAUUAGUGGCAUGUAAUGACACUGUGUGACUAGUGUAGUGCAGUGAAUAUGUGCUGUGUAAUGUAUGUGUGUGGUGAGGAAUGAUGUGUGUGGGGAAAAGCAAUGUGUGACCAGGAGUGUGUGAGUCAAUUGUAGUGAGAUAAGUACAAGGAAUGAGUGUAACGGACUAGU